CUUAUCGUCGUACUUGUCGUCGUUGCCGUCGUCCGUCGUCGUCGUCAUCAUCGUGGUCGUGAGUCGUCCUCGCCGUCGUCGUCAUCGUCAUCAUCAUCAUCAUAGCCGUCGCCGCGUCUUGGUGUCGCAGUUAACGACCCGGUGUAUCGUGACGCGGUGAGCCGCGGUAUCCCCGGGUGAUUCGCGGUGGCUUGUCGGGAAAGAGUGCGCCAUGCGAGAGAGGGAUAAAUCGGUGACUGGCGGGCGGCGGCCAUCUUCCAGAUGAGUUUUUCCUCCUUUCUUCCGAUAAACGAAGCGCGCUAUGUCGUGAGCGAAAAGGACAGAGAAAGCGAGAUAUCGUAAAAGGGAUCCUAUCGUGGGGAGAGAGCGAGAGGACGAGAGACGGAGAGAGAGAGAGAGAGAGAGAGGGAGCAGCGAGCGAGAGGGAGACAUACUCGAGAGAGACGGAGCGAGAAAGCGCGCAAGGGAAGAAGAUUAUCCGCGUCUAUACCAUGCGACGAGAGAUGCGGUGAACGGCGCGUGAGGCUCGGCAGAGCCACGAAAUUUCACGAGCGCGUGUCGCCGCUUCGACCAGUCUUCAUUUGUGAGCGUGAGAGGGAAAGACAGUCGCUCGCUCGCUCACACGACAGAGACAGACGUGUAUUAGGAAGUGUCGCACCGCCCGCCCGCUCGCCCGACCGCGCGUGCGAGAGCAAGCGAAAAAGAGAGAGGAAGAGGAGAGAGAGAGAGAGAGGGGGGAGGAGCGAAGAAAGAAAGAGAGAGAGGGAGAGGUACGACGAAGCGACGAACCAGAGCGGAAGACGGAGAAAGAGACACAUCGCGUGCGGGGGAAGAAAACGGAAGCGGUGCGGAGAGAAACGGACACGGAGAGGCGACCCCCUAUCGCCGCGCGAGUACGUUCGUAAUCGCGUCGUUCUCGCGAGCAAGCGAGAGCGAGCGGGAGAAAGAGAGAGAGAGAGGGAAAGAGAAGACCAUCGGAGAGAAGAACGGAGGAAAAGGGAGCAAAAAGGAUCAAUCGUCGCGGAACUCGCCGUCGUGUGUGCGUGUGUGUGAGGCCGCGGGGUGGAAGCGGAGAGAAAACGGAAGUGCGAGGAACCCGUGGACGCUCGUCGCCGACGCCGUCGCCGUCGCCACCGCCACCACCACCGCUGCCGCCGCCGCCGCCGCCGCCGCCGCUGCCGCUGUCGCUGCCGGCCCGAGGUGCCCACCCGUUACAUCGCGAUCGAGAGAGAGUGUGUAGUGUGAGAUCAAUAAUGAGACAGGUGCUCUCAUUGGUGGUGUAAAGCGAUGCGGCGGAGCUGAGAGUUUUGUCAGGCGGCACUAGGGGCUCAUGAAAAGUGCAUCCGGUGUGCGUACCGCCGCCGUAAAAGACCGCCGUGCCGCGAGGACAUUCGAGCGAGUUGGAUAUCAGUGUAAUUUAUAAUGUAGUGCCAACUUUGCAGAUGGAUAAACAGGGAUGACUGAUAACUGCUGGAACUCUGGUGGUGGCGCUGGCGUCAAGAUGGAGCAUUUUCAGGCCACCCUGGACCCAAGGAAGCAGGAGUUAUUGGAGGCCCGCUUUCUCGGAGCGAGGGUGAGCUGCCGAUAAUAUAUGUCCUUUAUUUGCUUUCUAUUCUCGUGUUCUCUUCACGAACGGUGGCACUCUUUCUCCUUCGCCACCGCGAAACGUUUACUCGAACAUCGGGAGAGAACGAGAGACUGAGAGCAAGAGAGUGAGAGUGAGAGAGAGAGAGAGAGAGAGGAGGAGGGAGGGGAAGACAAUUUACAAUUUCGAAGUGACAGAGAGAAAGAUUUGUGCGAAAAUGUCUCUCGAGACCCGAACGCGACAUUAAGUCGCUUUCGACGAAAGUACAUCCAUGCCUUCAUAGAAGUAUCGCUUCGCUCUAUCGACGCACUAUCGCCUUAUCGACUUCGAGUGGCGGCAGUUAAAACGAGUAAUUAGCUUGUUGACGCACGUGAUUCGCGAUCGUCGUCGUUGUCGUCGUCGUCGUCGUCGUUGUAUUGACGAGGCAGCGAUGGAUUUCGUCCGCAAAUUUUCCACUUAUCGCUUUUAUCACAUGUUCGCGGCCACGGCAAUGUGCAUCGCCGACCCUUAUCUCGAUUAUGACGGAACCGCGAGGUUCGAAUUGUCACGCACGUCGCCGCAACAUGAUUAGUACGCUUUUCUCUCGCUCUGUCUUCUUCUCCCCUCUUUCUCUCUCUCUCUCUUUCUCUCUUUCUCUCUGUGUGGCGUUCUCUUCGCGCUUCCCACGACUUCCUUCUUCCUCUCCUUCAUUCUCCGCUCAAAGGUGGCAAAAGUAAUAACGAUUAUUAUUAUCAUCAUUAUUACAACACUUUGCUGUAUACACGAGCUGAAGAGCGUCACGGCUGAAGGUAACACUUAGCCCGGACGCAGCAAAGUUUCUAAUAUCGAAAUCGGCUACCGUUCGCCGCGACGUCUCACCCGCGCUUCGAGCUCGCCGAUGAUACGAUGAUGAUUAUUAUGUCAGUGGAAUAGAGCCAAUGAACGUUCUCGCAGACAGUCAGAUCCGGGCAGGUGUUCAUUAUGGUUACCCGGACGAGUCUUUCGCGCGCGCGCGCGUAAUAAAAGAGGAGGACACGCUCGUGCGCGAUUUUACGAAGCCGGCAGUCUCGCGUUUCGCAACGGCGUUUGUCAUCCGCCUGUUUUACAACCGCUCCGCGCGCUAAUUCAUCGAACAGCGUCGGCCGGGGAUCCUCGUCGGAGGGAUCGCGACGCGACGCAUCUUCGACGGCCCGACGGCGGGGCGAGUUCUUCAAUUUCGGAGCGUGUAAUGAAGACGCGUGAUAAUGAAACGGCGCGGCGACCUGGCCGCGCGCGAUUAUCGACGCCUCGCUUCGGCAGGAAUACCUAACGGGACCUGCAUUAUUCGACGGCGAAUGAGCAAUUGUGUCUGUCGAGCUUAAACAUCGCCCCGCUAGCCGUGGCUAAUUUAUAGACGUGUAAUCCGUCGGCGGAGAAUCGAUCGGAUCGCGCACCUCCCGAUCGAUUCUCCGCGCGCGGAUCUUUUCUCUCGGAGACGCCUCAUUUAUGUACACGUCGGCUCUAUUUUCGGCAAAUUACGACAUCCCGAUAUAUACUGAGUGUCUCGAGCGUACGGACUCGUCGUCAUCGUCGUCGUCGUCGUCGUCGUCGUCGUCGCACAGCGCACUUACAUAUGCCUCUCGUCGUAAUCGUAAUUCCUAAUUGGUUCGAGUACUUUUUUCUCCACUCCC
rnacentral:lncRNA from 1 species